UGAUGGGAGGUCGUAGUUGUUUUGUUAUUCUUAGCAGGUUAAUAAUGGGUUGCUUACUUGGUGUAGAGGAGGUGUAUACGCCGAGCUAUGGUUUGUCCCAUUGAUUCGUCGCUAUAUUUUGUUAGCUCUGCAAUUGAGUUUCUGCCUUCUGGUAGUAAGUGUGGUAAUGGUCUUUUAAAAACAAGACAACUUUAUAAUGUAUGAUAUCUUCUAAAGUUAGCUAAACUGGUUAUUCCAAUGUUAUUGCUAUUCCAAUGUUAUUUUUUGCAUGUUACAUAUCUAUUGAAGUUUUUUUUAUUAUCCAUGUCUACUUAAGUUAUUCUUUUUUUUGGGACAAAUUACUUUCGCGACGUCUAAUUGCACUAGGGAGUAACUUUUAGCACUUCUCCAAUCAAGUAUAGUCAAAGCCGGUAAACAUCUUUGAAAAAAGCAUCAUAGUCUGUUUGGACAUUUGACUAUCAAGUUGAUGAUAAUCUAAGAUUUUUUCAGUACUGAAAACUGCGUAACAAAUCAAAAUAGUACAGUCAAUUUUGUAAUUGGAAAUAUAAUUUUUAAAUUAUAUUUUAAAAAGUAAAUUUUUUAAUCUUUGUGUUUAAGCCAAAACAUCAUGUAUUAUGAAAUAAAAGGAGUAAUAUUUAGCUAGAUUCGAUGUUUUAGCUCUGAAUAAAGUGUCAAAGAUUAUUUCAAUUAAAAAUCAUAUCAAAAAUAUAUGAGACAAGAAGCUCCAAAAACAACACUGUUUAUGGAAUUUUAAUAUUUUAUAAAACUAUGAAACUUUUGGCAAAAACCAUUCAUUUCACAAAUCCAGAAGUUUUUGUUUGGUCUUAUCUCAGAUAUCACUUAAUUAUAAAAAUUCCGAACAUCAAUUUUAAUAUUUUUCUACUCGAGCUAAAAAUAUUUGUUUAUCCUUAAGAAUUUUGCCAGAAAUAUUGACAUAUCAAUGUUGUACAACACAUAAUAUAAAAAUAUGAAUACAUCAUUUAUUUUGAAACAAUAAUAAUUUUCUAAAAUAUCAUUUAUUCUGAAACAAAAUUGGUAUUUAACCGUAAUAUACUUAAAUGGAUGGAUAACAUGGACUGCUUUUUUAGGUGAAAUUUGAGCGGAAAAAAAUUUGAGACAACAGUUCAAUCUAACGUUGGUGUGGAUUAGUGGAAGGUGGAAAAGUGAAGAGCGACGAGGAUUGGUGUGGUCUGGAAUGGAAUUUUUUUUUUCUUUUGGGUAAAACUGGAAUGGGAUGAUGUCCACACUUAAUAUAAUUACUAUUUAUUAGUUUCAUUAUUUAUUGGUUUCAUUGAUUGUAGUUUAUUACUCCCUCUGUAUCAAUAUAAGUGGUUUUUAAGAUUUUUACACAUGAAUUAAGAAAAUAUAAAUUUUUAUACAAUUUACAUUGAUUACAUAAAAAUAUCAUUAAAUAAAAUUAGUUUAACUAAUAAGAAAAAGGACAAUAUUUUAUAAUUGGUCACAAAAUUUAAAUGAUAUUAAAUUAUAUUUAGAAUACUGAAAACAUUAAUUAUUUUGAAACAAAAAAAAUUUCUUUAAACAUCACUAAAAGUGAUAUGGAGGGAAUAUGAAAAUGGUCUAUUUCUGCUCGUGUCAAUAAAAAUGGCCGGGCCAAGCAGGUGAUCUCAUUGAAGAAAUGGGCGACCAUUCUUCGCUACGUUGACAACUUCUUAAGCACAGCUUCAUAUACCCAUGUCACUAGUUUUAUGGCAAAUAAAAUGCAUGCAUCAUUAAAUGUGAGUGCGACAAAUCAAAAAUCUUAUUUUUUGUUUUAUAUAGUUGCUAUUAAAUUAAAAGUUUAAUUAUGUCAUUUGUCCUCAACAUUACAGAUUAAUGAAUAGUACAUUUAUAAAUAUUGGGACGUACUUUAACCACGUAACAUAAUCCCUCUGUUUUUUUUCAAAACAAAAAACAUAAUCCCUCUAUUUUCAAAUAAUGAUACUUGAGUUUUUCGUAAACAAGAACUAGUGCUUUAUAAAUCUAUCAUUUCACACUAAAUAAAUUAUACUCUAUAUUCAUAGUGUCAAAAUAAAUUUUUAUAUUAAAUAAAUAUAAAGUUUGCAACGAAAGUUGGAAUCAUUAAAAAUGAAAUAAAAUUGUUUUUCUAAGACAUAAUAUAAUAUAAAGGAAGGAGGUAUAUCUUAUUAUCUUUCAUAGGCAAGAAAAAGCAAUAAGUAUUUAUUUUCAGAAACGAUUUCUAAAAAUGUAUAGGACAUAUACUAUAUAUAGUGAAAUUUAACGUAUAAAAAAGUUGUUAGCAGUCUCAAAAGAGAAAGAUGUUGAUGCCAGGAAAUUAAAUAACAGAAAGCUCUAGUCGGCAAGCGAAUUAAUCCAGGAUGCCCGCUGUCGAAACCGAGUAAUAAAAAUGAUUUGAUUGAUGGUAUUCUAAAAAGUAUAUUAGCCAAAAUCAAUUUUAGGUCAUGAACAUAAUCAUAUAUAGGGUAUUUUCUCUCUAAUUUUCAAUUUAUGGUUCCAAAAAUUUAGAUCCCUAUGCAUCCCCACCGCAAUUAAUACUAACCAAAAUAUCUACUGUGUAUAUAUAUAUAUAUGUAUCUACAUAAUUUUAUUACUAUUUAGACCGCACCCAAUGGUCUCCUAUGUUUUACUUUUUUUCUCUUAUAUGAAGCAAUUGGGUAUUAAAGUAUGAAUAUGAAAUGUAUGUCAGGACCAUUUUGCAUAUUCACUGACGACAGUCGUUCAUGCAUAUAUUUAUGUUUAAGCUAUGCGUCUAUAAACAUAACUAAUUAAAUAUAGGGCAUAGGUGGAGCAGGACCAAUAAGUAGUCAAAAGAUAAUAUGCAUAAAUCAUGAUAAAAUGCGAUGUUUUUUGCAUGAAUCAUAUGAUUAAUAGAUGAUGUUAAAUUGUUAGUAAUAAUACAUAUUUAGCAUCAUCAUGAUUAAGUAUAAUUCAAAAUGAGAUUAAAAAUCGAAAGCUAGUUAACUCUUCAUCACUCAAGUAUAUAUUCAUAUUCCGGUUAGAUACGUUAUUAUACGGGACUGUAUACAUUUAUAGUACACGAACAUAGUUUUCAUAUGGUGUUAAACCCUUACAAUAUCUUUCAAGCAUAUAGGACUGAAAAGACUAAUGGUAUAACAUUAGAAUAGCUUUUUGAUGUCCAAAAAAAAAGACUAAGGGUAUAGCAUAUUUUCUGAUCAAAACCAACGUUAGGCUAUUAAUUAUUUCAAGUCAAAAAUUUAUGGUGAGAAGCUAUCCACUCCUUAAUUUGAGUUUAUUAUCUUUUUGAGUUUCUUAUGAAAAUAAAUUUGUAAUUAAAAACGAAAUAAAACCGAAGAGUCAAUAAUUUUCGGUUCUAUUUUCUUCCAUAGUUUUGUGGUUUAACGAAAAUAACAAGUGUGGUUCAUACAUAUUAGCACAGGUGUGAACUAAGACUCUUCUCAUUUAAUUUAGGAUAUGACACUCAUUAUACGACGAGACAAGUUUGGUUAAUUAUUGGUAAAAAGAAUUCAGGUGUAAAGCAUCUUGUCUUGGUUCAACAAAAAUGAUUCUCCUCGCAAAUCGUGAACGUCACAACUCAACUUCCUGACAAACGAAGGAGUGGAUGGAUCUAUGUUGUUGGUACUUGCGGGUGCGAGUGCACCCAUAAAAUGUUAAUUAUGUUCAUAUUACAUAUUAAAUUUAUAACUAAAUUAGCUUAGUUGGGAACAGUUUUUUUGGAACUUUAGCUGGGAAUAGUUGCACCCCGCAAUUCUUUCGGGUGAGAGUUCAAUGCACCCACUUUCACAUUAUUUUACAUAUAUGUGUGCGUAUAAUGUGUUUUGUCUACAUGAUGCACCCACUUUCACAUUAUUUUACAUAUAUUUGUGCCUACAAUAUGUUUUAUCUACAAGAUGCACCUAUUAAAAUAAUCUACGUCUGUGACACUUAUGACUUAGCCAGCAACACGAUACUAAUAUUGUUUUGUUUGUUUUUAGUUUCAAUAUCAUAGAAACGGAGAGCCCAUCAGAAUUCAGGAACAUAACGUAAAGAAUACGUUUUUUACAUCAAGAAGCUAUUCCGUUACUCAACCUAGAGGUAGUUGAAAAUCCAAAUAAAAAUAAAACAACCAACAAAAAUUUAAUUUCUAUGAAAAGCACGAGCUGUCUUGGCUAGACCGUAUGCAGUUUGAUUUUGCACUCUUGGUAUGUAUGAGAUUUUGAAAUCCUGAAAUAUUUGUUGAAGAGCUUCUAUUUCUUCUAACUUUGUUAAAAAGCUCGGUCAUGCCUUCGGAUCUUGAUCACUGAAAUUACAUUUUUACAACCUAUCUCAAACAUCCAAAUUACAUGUUACUAAUUGGUUUUAAAUUAAAAACUCAUAAUAAAUCAGAAUCUAAUAUAAUAUCAGAGUCCAAACACACCAUGCCCAACUGAACCAAAAUUGAUUCAGCCCAUCGAAAAAGGUCCGACCGAUCCUAAACCAACUUUGACCCGAAUGGUCCGGCGGUCUGACUUGAACUGAAUCCUAGAGGUAAAGAAACGUUUAUAUACCAAAACAUCAAAAUUACAUAUAAUUAGGUAAAGAGGUUAUUACAUUUAACUAACUUAUGGGUUUUCUAUGUUAAUUUGGAUUUCGGUUAAGAUUAGAUAAUACCCAAUAUUUAAAAUACCUAGUCUUUAGAUUUAUUUGUUAUUUUUAAUAAAUAUUUGAAUCAAAUUCAGAUUUUAUUAUUUUUUUGGUAAAAUGUUAAGAUUUAUAUCAUUUUCUGAAACGUUGAUGUUGAUAACAACUUAUUAGAAAGAAACAACAACAACCCAAACUUAAGAGAAAACAUAAAAGAAAAGAUGAAAGAAAAUAAAACUUGUCAAGGUGGCUGGUAGAUAGAGAGAUAGAACUGAAGUGGCGAUGGAGCAGGGGAAUGGCCCGGAGGCAGUAAGAGGAGGCGAUCUCGCAUCGUAAUUUUUUUUAUUUUUUUCAUCGAAAUAUCCCAUCGUAAUUUCAUGUGAUAGUUACCAAUAGAACGAAGCGAGAAAUUACUUUGAAGUGACGGAAUAUAUAUAUUUUUAAAUCUGUUACAUUAAAUUCAAUUUUUCAAAAAAAGGAGGGUAAAUAUUAUAUGUAAAUUAAACAUUGUAUAAGCAAAAUAUAAUAUUUUAUUUACGUAAUCAAAUUCUAGUUCUACAAU